rnacentral:misc_RNA from 1 species
GAGAUGGUGUGGGUGUUAGCUUUGUUGUUAGCGUCUAUCACCUGUGUUAUAUACCGCCAUUUCUCGCUCCAAUUUUCCGUUCCGAUCACAAUUCAAACAGCUUACCUUCAUUUAACUCAUCGCCGUCUUUCUGCUUACAGUUGGUUGUGGAUUUGUGAGGAUUUGCGGCUUUAGGGUUUUGAUUUCCUUAUUUGUUCUUCAAAUACAACUUUAAAGGAAUCAAUAACGAACAAAUCUAUAGUUUUUAGG